UGAGCUAAAGUCAGAUUAGACAAAUGG
rnacentral:piRNA from 1 species